CGCAACCGCUUCACCACCCCCAGAGCCGCGUCACUUCCAGUGUCGGCUGGCGUGGUGGACACGUAAAUAAAUAACUAAACGAGGGACGAACGCAACUGCGGCGGUACUGACCCACUACCGGCUGAGGGAGAUGGUGGCUUAACCGAGUGGCUGAUAUCUUAAGUGCUGGCAAGCCGUUUCCACCGCGGUGGGGCGGCCAUCUUGGACGGGGCGUGAGGCGAUGCCCUGGGUGACGCUGCGGCCGCCAUGUUGAGCUCGGGAGGAAGAGGGCUGCGCCGGGUCGUGGUGUUUUCUGCGCCCUGGCGUAGACAAUAUGAGGAUAAACAACAGCCCGGUUCAUCGGCACAGGAGUGAAGAACUGCAUGCGGAAAAGGAACGGGGCAGCCUUCCUACCAUAGCUGUGUCCAGAGCCAGCUGUCACUUCUCCAAACGGACGAUGGCACCUGAGCCGGUUUGGAAUCUGCAGUCCUAACAAGUUCAGCCAAGUUUUGUGAGCUGAAGAUCUCCAUUUAUCUUUAUCGUAUCAAUUGCUGACAGUGUUUCAAUACGGUGGUAAAAAUCAAAGAGCUGAUGUCCAUCCACAAAUAUUCUAAAACGGGGAUGCUCGCAAAGUAUCUCGACCUGUAAAAAUAAAAUGGUGGAGCACAUUG